rnacentral:lncRNA from 1 species
GUUAUUCUUCGGUUUGCCUCCUCCCAGUGGCGUGGAUUUGCUCCCGACCCGCUUUUGGGGCGUGCCUGCUUCCUCCUCUCUGUUAGGUCUCGCUCUGUCACCCAGGCUGGAGUGAAAUGGCACAAUAUUGGCUCACUGUAACCUCCGCCCCCAGGUUCGACUGAUUCUCGUGCCUCAGCCUCCUCAGUAGCUGGGAUUACAGAAUUUUACACCUGGAACUCCUGGGUGGGAAGGUAUAAACCGUUUAAAGUCUCCGGCAAUACACUAAUAAAUUGCUUCAAAGGAAAGUUCUCAACCGUUACUCUCAGCAGUGUGUGUAUUAGGGCCAUCCUCACCACACCCUUUCAGGCAGCGACAUGAGGCCCAGAGAGGCGAAGCCACUUGAGCUCGUGAGUGACAGUCAGAUCUCAAGCCCUGCUCUUUCUAAAGCGUGCUGCCUUCAGAAAAGAAGAGCCAGAAGGAUGGAAAUUACUUUAGAAAGAUAAAUACCAGCUUUGAAGGAAUAAAAGCUGACAAGGAAUUGAAGGAGUUGAGGCACAAGCUUGAACAGGGUUGCAUGUUUGGCCCUUGAUUGUAAAUGCCCAUUGCUGCACCUGUUCCUGUUACUUGGGGAGUUGCAGCAGAAGGAACAGCAGCCUGGGACUCCAGAGAACUGGGUUCCCUCUCAUCUCUCCAGGGCCACCACUUCUUGUGGGCCCUUGGGCAAGUCACUGUACUUUCUGAGUCUCAGUUUCCCCAUUUGCAGAAUGGAAAUAACUACCCCGGUCUACCAACUUAGAAGAAUUGCUUUGAGGAUCUGAUAAGGUGGUGUGGAUGAUGCUGCCUUGGGGGCUUUACAGUCUGGAGCUCAAGGGACCCCUUAAGUUGGGCUUACUUAGUAACUCCAGGGGUGGGCAGAACAGGACUCCAAUGAGGGUUUUUUUCUUUUUCCCUUUUUUUUCUUUUCGUAUCUCUUAACUUUUAUCUUUAUUAUUUUACAAUGCCCUUGUAAGAUGAAACAAGUGAUGCUGAAAUAUCUUUUUUCUUUUUUAACCUUUAUUUUAGAAUUGGGGUACAUGUGCAGGUUUGUUGCAUAGGUAUAGUGUGGGCUGCUGAGGUUUGGAGUACGAAUGAAUUAGUCACCCCAGUGGUGAGCAUAGUGCCCGAUAAGUAGUUGUUUCAACCCUUACUCCCAUCCCUCUCCAUUCUUGUGUUCCCCAGUGUCUGCUGUUCCCGUUUUUAUGACCAUGUGUACUCAAUGUUUAGCUCCCACUUAGAAGUAAGAACAUGCCCAGCACUUUGGGAGGCCGAGGUGGGUGGAUCAUGAGGUCAAGAGAUCGAGACCAUCUUGGCUAACACAGUGAAACCCUGUCUCUACUAAAAACAUAAAAAAUUGGCCGGGUGUGGUGGUGGGCACCUGUAGUCCUAGCUACUCGGGAGGCUGAGACAGGAGAAUCGCCUGAACCGGGGAGGUGGAGGUUGCAGUGAGCUGAGAUUGUAACCACUGCACUCCAGCCUGGGUGACAGAGUGAGACUCCAUCUCAAAAAAAUAAAAAUAAAAAAAUAAAAAGAAUGUGGUGUAUGA